AUGAAUAAGAAUCGCGUAAUCAUUUCCAAGAAAAUAAAAUUAUUAAUUUGAAAGCUGGGUUUUCGUACAAGGAGAACUAUACAUCGUGCCAUAGCGAAGUUAAUUCUAAUUUAUUUAUUUUUUGACAUUUAGUUGUGGCAUUAUGUUGACAUUUUGUUGUGCCAUAAUGCUGAAUGGUAAAUUGGUUUGUUAAGAAAGAAACGUGCCAUGUGAAGUACGCAACUUCGUUUUUUCUUCGAUUGUUAUCAAAUAUAAGCAUGCAGGAUAAAGUUUACAUAGUGCAGGAUUAAUAUCAAGGACAUCAUGAAAAGUGUUUGCAGCAUAACGACAUGUUUUAUUGUGACUAUUUUAAUUGCUAAAAUGCCAAAUACACAAGGUGCUCCGUCUUUUAGUGGUGCCUCUACAUUUAGUGUGUCUGAAAGUAGACCUAUAGGAACUACAGUCGGGACAAUAAGUGCAGUGGAUGGGACUAACCCAAUUAAUUAUACUAUCACUAUCGGAGGUACACAUUUUACGAUCGAUUCAACCAGUGGAAUAGUAUAUACGGCAAGAGUAUUUGAUUCCGAAAACGGAGAUAUCAGAAUAAACAUAACCGUGAGCCACGUCGAUUGCCUUGCUUACGGUAACAGACGCUGAUGGUACUACGCCUACCAUAUCAAUCUUUUCUGGAAACAACGACAACAAGUUUGAGCUGCGAGCCAGUAACACGAAGGAGAUCAUUACACAAACAGCUGAUC